CCUACGGGCGGCAGCAGUGGGGAAUAUUGCACAAUGGGGGAAACCCUGAUGCAGCGACGCCGCGUGAGUGAAGAAGUAAUUCGUUACGUAAAGCUCUAUCAGCAGGGAAGAAAUACUGACCUUACGGUCAGCAGACGGUACCUGAGUAAGAAGCCCCGGCUAACUACGUGCCAGCAGCCGCGGUAAUACGUAGGGGGCAAGCGUUAUUCGGAUUUGCUGGGUUUAAAGGGAGCGUAGGCGGUGCGGCAAGUCUGGAGUGAAAUGCCGCAGCUUAACUGCGGAACUGCUUUGGAAACUGGCGAACUAGAGUGCGGGAGGGGUAAGCGGAAUUCCUAGUGUAGCGGUGAAAUGCGUAGAUAUUAGGAGGAACACCGGUGGCGAAGGCGGCUUACUGGACCGUAACUGACGUUGAGGCUCGAAAGCGUGGGGAGCAAACAGGAUUAGAUACCCGGGUAGUC
rnacentral:rRNA from 1 species